CCUACGGGAGGCAGCAGUGAGGAAUAUUGGUCAAUGGGCGCGAGCCUGAACCAGCCAAGUAGCGUGAAGGAUGACUGCCCUACGGGUUGUAAACUUCUUUUAUAAAGGAAUAAAGUGAGGCAAGUAAGCCUGUUUGUAUGUACUUUAUGAAUAAGGAUCGGCAAACUUAGUGCCAGCAGCCGCGGUAAUACGGAGGAUACGAGCGUUAUCCGGAUUUAUUGGGUUUAAAGGGAGCGUAGACGGGUUGUUAAGUCAGUUGUGAAAGUUUGCGGCUCAACCGUAAAAUUGCAAUUGAUACUGGCAGUCUUGAGUACAGUUGAGGUAGGCGGAAUUCGUGGUGUAGCGGUGAAAUGCGUAGAGAUCACGAAGAACUCCGAUUGCGAAGGCAGCUUACUAAUCUGCCACUGACAUUGAUGCUCGAAAGUGUGGGUAUCAAACAGGAUUAGAUACCCGUGUAGUC
rnacentral:rRNA from 1 species